AUGUAGUAGGAAAGAUAUUAGAUUUAAUAUUGGAUGUUUCUCUGAUGCUUACGUUGUUGCUGAGAACAAGUAAAAUGACCUACAAAUGAGAUUUUUCAAUAUUCAAUAAAACUCCUAAGUACAGUUCACAUUCCAAGGGACACUUUAUUCUGCACUCUGUUGCUUAUUGUUGCAAUAAAUAAAGUUGUACGAAUUAAUACAUGUUUGCUUAUAUUUUUCUAGGACUUCAUAGGUUGUGCAUGGGGAAUUGAGCAUAUUUCUCUAGUCAUGGUAUCCGCAGGAUGUGCGAUAUGUCUGUUUUCCGGUUUCUAUGCUUUGGUAGAAAAAUAUGUAGGUAGAUAUGUAUUUAUCGCAAUUGCUGCAGCUCUCAACUUUACUUUGCUCGUUAGAAUGCUAUAUUGGAUCCCGGAUUCAACUGAGCCGACAAUGAUGUUUGUCGCUGCUGCUAUGUGGGGAGCUAUUAUAGGAAUUAUGUGGUGCCAAAUAAAAGCAUUUAUUGGACUCAUUUUUAAAGAAGAAGAAGAAACUGCUUUUGGGUGUUAUCAGCUCUAUCAUGCUCUAGGAUGUGCUGUGUUUUACGCCAUAAACAACUAUGUAUGCACAUAUGUGAAAAUAUACAUAAUGUUAGCAAUAUCUGCAAUCGCUAUUAUUUGUUAUUUAUUUGCAGAAAGAAACUAUAGUUUAAGUAAAAAGCAGUAUAAAAAAACAUGCACUUCAAUAAAAUAACAUUUUAUAAUAACUAAGAAGCUGUUGUGCUGCUUUGAAGGUGUUGUGCUUUCUACUGUGCGUACCUCUGUCGUCAUAUUUUACCAAUAAUAGAAUAUGCUUUUCUACUGUCUAAAGUUUUAAUAAAGACAUUACUGUUAACUUAGAGCUUUAAAGAGGCGAAAAUUUAAAUUUUUUUAUGAGCCAUAAUGAAUUGUAUAAAUGAUGAUGUAUUUUUAUGUAUAAAGGAUAUUUAUGGAG